rnacentral:rRNA from 1 species
UAGGGAAUCUUCGGCAAUGGACGAAAGUCUGACCGAGCAACGCCGCGUGAGUGAAGAAGGUUUUCGGAUCGUAAAACUCUGUUGUUAGAGAAGAACAAGGACGUUAGUAACUGAACGUCCCCUGACGGUAUCUAACCAGAAAGCCACGGCUAACUACGUGCCAGCAGCCGCGGUAAUACGUAGGUGGCAAGCGUUGUCCGGAUUUAUUGGGCGUAAAGGGAGCGCAGGCGGUUUCUUAAGUCUGAUGUGAAAGCCCCCGGCUCAACCGGGGAGGGUCAGUGGAAACUGGGAGACUUGAGUGCAGAAGAGGUGAGUGGAAGUCCAUGUGUAGCGGUGAAAUGCGUAGAUAUAUGGAGGAACACCAGUGGCGAAGGCGGCUCUCUGGUCUGUAACUGACGCUGAGGCUCGAAAGCGUGGGGAGCAAACAGG